AUCCAGCUGAUGAGUCGCAAAUAGAACGGAACGUGAGUCCUGAAU
rnacentral:hammerhead_ribozyme from 2 species